rnacentral:rRNA from 1 species
UACGGGGGGGUAAGCGUUGUUCGGAAUUACUGGGCGUAAAGGGCUCGUAGGCGGCCAACUAAGUCAUACGUGAAAUCCCUCAGCUUAACUGGGGAACUGCGUGUGAUACUGGAUGGCUUGGAUUUGGGAGAGGGAUGCGGAAUUCCAGGGUGUAGCGGUUGAAAUGCGUAGGAUAAUCUGGAGGAACACCGGUGGCGAAGGCGGCGAUCCUGGACC